GAAUUUCCACGUGCCAGGGAUGUGACCCUAAAAAGACAAAAAAAAAAAAAAAAAGAAAGAAAGAAAGAAAGAAAAAAUAUCACAGGUGUCACAGGUGGACAGGUGGAAUAUAUUUCUUUUAAAUCACAAUCUAAUAUACUUUCUAUAACAUCACAUUUUCCUCCCUGAUGUUCUUGGAGGUAAGGAAGUUGGAUUUAGUAUUUGAAAAAGGUUUCAGGUAAGGUUCAUUCAUAAUGUGCUGAUUAUUAUAAGAUUUAUGGGUUCUAGAUUUAAGUUCAAUCACAAGUUGUAUCAAAUCUUCUUCAGUGGCUGGUUGUUGCUGGUAUAGAGGGAGGUUGGUAUAGUUUAAAGAGAUGGGCAAAGGCACAGUGCCUAUCUUAGCUCAAGCUGCUAUAGCAAAAUUACCAUAGACUGGAUGUUUAGACAACAAACAUUUAUUUCUCACAGUUCAGGAGGCUGGAAAGUCCAAGAUCAAGGUGUCAGCCAAUUUCACUCUGGGCAAGAACACGCUGGUUUGCAGACAGCCAUGUUUCUGUAUUUUCACAUGGAAGAGGAAGAGAAAGAUCUCAUGUCUCUUCCUUCUUUGAUAAGGACGCUAAUUGCAUCAUGAGGGCUCCACCUUCAUGACCUAACCUAACCUUAAUUAUCUUCCAAAGGCCCCACCUCCAAAUUCCAUCACAUCACAUUAGGAAUUAAGGUUACAACAUAGGAAUCUGGGGAGGUUACAACAUAAACAUUCAGUCCAUAAUAGUGCCCAGGACAGAAAUUUUCUGGCAUAGGCCACAUUCAGGUGCAUAAAAGGUAAGAGAAAAUGCUUAAUGUACAAAAGUAAUGUGAAUGGUUACAAAAGCCAUACAUUUCUAUAAAAACACUUCCAGCACUCUACCACAAAGCACAAAUGGCCAUAGAUUCGUAAUGGAUAAGAGAACUUUCGUCUUCACUCUCGUCAAAAUUUAUAAAUUCACACUUUUAGAAUGUAUUUUAAAAAAAAUCACUAUUAAUUCUUAUUUUUUCUGGGUGUGAAAAUAAUAUGUGCUAUCUACAAAUGUGCUGAGAACCUGAAAAGAAAGAAGGAAAUAAAAAUCAACUAUAAUCUCAUCAUUCAAAGAUAAAAAACAAUUCUAACAUUAACUGUUUCUAAUAUUUUGGGAUAUGCAUAGCAUAGGCAUACUUUUGUUUUUCUCAGAAGGUAAAAUAAGAGUGUUCCAAUUACACAUACAUUUUAUUUUAUUUUAUUUUAUUUAUUUUAUUUUAUUUUACCUUUUCUAGGGCUGCUCCCACGGCAUAUGGAGGUUCCCAGGCUAGGAGUCUAAUCAGAGCCGCAGCCGCCAGCCUACACCAGAGCCACAGCAAUGCAGGAUCCGAGCCGCAUCUGCAACCUACACCACAGCUCAUGGCAACGCCAGAUCCUUAACCCACUGAGCAAGGCCAGGGAUCGAAGCCGCAACCUUAUGGUUCUUAGUCGGAUUCAUUAACCACUGUGCCAUGACAGGAACUCCAGGGUUUGUUUUUUUUGUCUCUCAGAUAUGGCUGUCUUCAGCUUUUAUUUUUUAAAAAUAUUAAUUUAGACUCUUCCUCACAUUUAAGGCAACAUGCUAAAAAUCACAAACUGGCAGUAUUUACUGAUGCACUACUAGGUGAAUCUAGAAUUCAGAAUAGUUUACUAUAGGCUUCAGAAUCAAAUUUUGUUAGGAAUUCUCAGUUUUCGCUUGUUCUUGUUUUUUAACUUUUCAACUUGACAUUAUUGAUUCUAGGUCAUUCUUCGCUUUCCUUGCAGAGAGACAAUUUCUUUACUUUCUUCCAGGCUUGCUUCUCCCUACAGCCUAUCUCCUUAAAAGUCUUAAUCUUUUGUUGUUGUUAUUUUGAAAUUCAUUUUUUUAUUAUACAAGUAACACAUGAAUAAAUUAUGACAGUGAAAGAUUCAAGCCAUAUAGUCAUGUAGAAUUAAUGAUACAAAUCAUACUCUCAUCAAUCAGAAAUAAUUCCUUUUAUUAAUUCAUUGUAAGCCUUCUUUUUUCUGUUCAUAUAAGUGCUAGCCAUGCAGUCCCCAUCAUAGCUGUUCAUAUCUGCCAAUGCACAUGAGAGACAUCUAAGGCAAAAGGUAAGCCAAUGACUGGAGCUUUCUUCCAGUAAUAGCUUAUUUACAGAAACAAAUCAUGGGGCAGUUUGGUCCAUGGGUAAAUGAAUUGGAAAGAGACAGAUGAGGUCAUUCACAGGAAGCUUAAAGACAAAUUUGUAUUAAUUUUUAAAGCAACAAAAGAAGGAGCUCUAAAAAUCAGUGAAGUUAACAUUUCUCUUGGCCCACUAUUUUCUUCAAAAAGUACAGAAAAAAUUGUCUCACUGAAAAAAAGCAACAGAAAAGGAUUGGUGAUCAAACCCUAUAAAAAUUAUUAUAAUACAAUGAGAAUAAAAUAUAAAAUUAUAUGCCUCUCGACCGUGAAAUCCCACUGAAUAAUACUCAGAACAUUAUAUAUAUGUGUAUAUAUAUCCAAAAUUUUUCAAUGAGAUCAAAAAUAUUUUUAAAUUAUUAAUUCUUAAAUAUUCUUAAUUUCUUUGAUCUCAUUUAAAAACAUUACAUUACAGAUUUAUGAGCAUAUCAUUCUGUGGGAUUUCAUUGUCCAGAGGCGCAUCGUGGGAUGGCUUCAUGAAUGUAUAUGUAUCUCCAAGGUUGUCAAGUUGUGUACAUCGAACAUGUACAGCUUUUUGUAUGUCAGUCAUACCUCAAUAAAGUAGUCAAAAAAGAAGUUAAGAAUAAAAAGUUUAAAAAUCUAUAGAGAUUAGAAAAAUCAGAAUUAGAAAAAUUCAGAAAUUAAGUAAUUGAAAGGGGGUGAAUGAAGACAUGUGGUGGAUCCAAAACAGGAUCCGAAAUUAAAGAAGAAACUCUUGAAAUAAAUACCAAGUUAAAAGGAGCAUAAAUGAAUAAACAGAAUGGUAAUGCCUUAAGAAAGACAGAAAAUGGGAAGGAUAUUUUUAAAAGUUAUAAAGAUUUUCAGAGGAAGUAAUCUAGACAAAAAAGACAAUGUACGUAUAAGACGUGUUCCUGAAAAAGAAAACCAAAGCAAUAGUAUAGAACAAACCCUAAAAGUACGAUUCACAAAAAUGUUCCUAUCACAAAAGCAAUUUAAAAAUACAUAUUGAAAUGCACAUAAUGUACUUUGGAAAAUUGAGCCCAAAUCACCAAUGUAUCAAGAAGAUUAUUGGAUUUAAGGAAAAAAAGAAAAAAAAAUUAUUUGGGCACUUAGACAAAAAGACCAAAGUCUUUUAUGAAAGAAACAAAAUGAUGUUGUCAUCAUGCUUUAUACCAGAUGUCAAAGGAGUUACAAAUUUAAGAUAUGAAAGAAAAGAAAAUGUGAGUUAGGACUUUGUCUCCAUCAAAGAUGACCUUCAGUUUUAAAGACCAUAUAGGGGCCAUUAUGAAUGUUCAAGCACUCAAGACAUAGUGUUCCCUGUGUCUUUCCUAAGGAAUCUCCUAGAGAACAAGCUUCAGGAAAUGCAGGAAAUGGAAUCAUUGGAGAGGCAUCAAUUGAAAAACUGAUGGGUUUUCAUAUGCCACAUAAUUGUAGAAUACUACAAAAUAGAGUUUUUAGGGAUAAACAUUAAAAAGGCAGAUUAAGCAAUCGUCAGUCUAACAUCUGUAUUUUCAUUAGCACCAAUAGAUUCCAGGAGACCAUGGAGUAAUUACAGUGUUCUAAGGGGGAGUAACUGUCAACCACGAACUCUAUCCUCAGGGAAAAUAUCUUUUAAGAAUUCUACCAAAUAAAAAUGUUUUGGGGCAAACAAAACCUACCAGAGUUUGCUACCCAAAGAUCCUGACUGAUGGAAUUUCUAAAGACAGAAGAAAGUGAAUCCAGAUGGGACGUUUCAGAUGUAAAAAGAAAUGUGUAUCAGUAACAAAGUGGUAAAUGUGUAAGUGAAUCUAACAUGUAGGAUUAAACCUUAUUUGUAUAAUGCAAUGAUAAUAACUAUUUUGUUAAAAAAUUUAAAAUCUCAGGGUAACACUAAAACACUGCAUUAAAAUAACUAUGUCACAGAAAUUUGGGAUGGGCUAGAGCACUUCAGGUAUUUAACUGUGAUAGAUGUGAGUAUUCCUUUUAUCAUUGUUUUUACAUCAUACAUAUCUUAUAAAAUAGUUUUCUAUUUUUAUAGUAAUAAAAAAACAAAUUUGUGGGGGAAAAAACCCUAUAACUCUCCAUGGCUGGUUCAGAUCAGUAAUGACAUUCGUUGGAAAUAUUACUGAAAGAGGUAAAUUCUUUUUAAGCCUCUUGUCAAAUUUAUUAGCCAUGAUAUGUUAAUAAGAAUCGAUUUUUUUUUCAAAGAUCCUCAUAUGUUUCAUGUUGUUCAGACCACAUAUAAGUAAGAGAAAAAAAAAUUAUCUUUCCCCCUCCAGCUCUGGAAGUUACAACUGGAAUAAAACUGAAGUCGAAGUGAUAUAGAGUAUUCACUGCUCUCCUUAUUAGCUAUGUAAUUUCCCCAGACAAUUUCUACCCUUUCUUUUCUAUAUAUUAAGAUAAUUACAGGCAUUAGUAUUACACUGUGGUAAAGAUACUAUUAUGAUGAUAGUGUCACGUGAAAAUUUUUGUGGUACCUAAAGUAAGAAAAUGCAGAAGUUUGUCCUCAGAGAGCUUUAAUGUAGUGAUGUGUUCAGGCAGCGCCUGGAUAAGAAGGGAGGAGCUGAAGACAAUGAAAGAAAGAGCUUGGAAGCUUUAAACGUAAAUGAACGUUAAUCAUGAAAAACACUGAUUAAAGUGUAAUGAUGUAAAAGUUAAUCUAGCUACUAUGCAAUUAACUCAAAAUUACAACCAUAUAUUGUAUGUGUAAUCACAUCCUGAGAAACAUAUUACAUUUUAAAAAAUGAAACCGCUUUAACAGGAUGCUUAUGGGAGUCUGCUGACAGAUAGCUAUACCAAUUUGAUAAUUAACUUUUUAAGGCUAGUUCACAUUUUCUGUUCCUAAUUAAUGCCUACUUAAUUUUUGAUACAUUCUAUAUUAAGUGCCAAUUAAUGCUGUGCAAGCUCUAGGAGUGGAAAAAUCUCUAAACCUCAAAAACCAUGUGAUUUUGUCAUUAAAUCGCUCAAUAGAAAUCAACUAAGAAUACCACUUUCUAACUAACACCUUAGUAAAUCUACCCUGGAACAAAAUUAUUAAAAAAUAAAAUGUAGUCGGCUAUGAUGACUUAGUGAAUUCAAGUGAUCAUUGUGAUGAUAGUUUCAAAUUAUAUGGUCACUUAUAAAGUUUUCUUAAGAUAACUCGCACAAAUCUCAUAAUAGUUUCUUUAAGGUCCAAUCAGAUGCACUUAAUUAUUUCUUCAUCCGCAAAUGAAAAUAGUAGAGCCCAGAGUUGAAAUCUUGCUGUCUUUUGCCUUCUGGAAGCUUCAUUUUUACCUUUCAUAUUUAGAUCUUUGGUCCAUGUGGACUUGACUUUUAUGUGAGGUAUAGAUCAAGAUUCACCUUUUAAAAUAUGGAUAUUCAUUUUGCCCAGCAGCAUAAAAUCCCGAAUGAUAUAAAAUGAUAAUGUUGUCAUAAAUUAAAGGUUUACUUGUAUCUUUGACUUUUCUCUAGAAUAACUAUUCUGGUUUCAUUUUUCUAUUUAUCCUGUGUCAAUAUCACACUCUAUCAUUAGUAUAACAUUAUAGCAAAAAUCUUUGUGUCUUGUUGAAAAUAUUUUCUCACAUGGUUCUUCUUCAAGAAUAUCUGAGAUAUUCUUGGCACAUUGAAUUGUAGUACAAAUUUUAGAAUUCUUUGCCAAUUUUCAUGCAUUAAAAAUAUUUUGUAGAAUUUUUAUUGGGAUUACACUGAAUCUUUAACUCAAUCUGUAAAUAAAUGGCAAUUGUUACAAUAUUAAGUGUUCCAAUUCAUGAGAAAAGCCUAUUUCCACUUAUUUAUAAUAUUCAUUAAUUCCUUCAAUAAGUCUUAGUUUUCUGCACAGAAUUCUUUUAACUAUUUUAUUAGAUAUAUUUAUAUGUAUUACACAUAAAUUUACAUAUAGAUACAUAUUUAUAUGUAUGUGAUAAUUUCAGUACUUGUGUAAAUCAUACCAUUUUUGAGUUAGCUUUUUAGGAAUUUGCUUGUUGCUGGUAUAUAGAAAACCAAUGGAAUUUUAUGAUGAGUUUGUAUCCAGCAGGUUUGCUAAACUCUUAUUAAUAACUAGAAUUAUUAAUUAUUAUAACUUAUCUGUGAAGUUUUUAAAAUCUUCCACUAAUACAACCAUAUCAUCUGCAAAUAAAUAUAGUAUAAUUGCUACUUUCCAUGCUUUAGAAUUGAGUAGACAAUAUUGAAUAGGUGUAACUGGGCAUCCUUGUAUCAUUUCCAAUCUCGGGGAUAAAAAUGUAAAUAUUUUACUGUUGGUAAGCCUUUUUUCAUAGGAUUUUGGUGGGUAAACUUUAGAUAGGAUAGGUUUCUUUUAUUUUUUUAGUGAUUUUUAUUUUUUCCAUUAUAGUUGAUUUACAGCUUCUGUCAAUUUCUCCUAUACAGCAAAGUGUCCCAGUCAUACAUAUAUUUACAUGUUCUUUUUCUCACUUUAUCCAAUUUCGUAGAAACUUCAAGAUGUUAUUUGAAGCGGUUUUGCCAAUUGAUACUUCUUCACGCUGUAAGAAUUUAUAUUCCAUCACAUCCUUGACAAUGUUCAGUACUGAUAGUCCAAGUUUGCUAAAAGUUCUACCAUGGUUGUUAAUUCUUAACAGAUCACUUUUUUCUGCAUCUAUUAAGAUGAUAAUGUGAUUCUUCUCCUUUGUUUCAGAUUGAUAAACUAUACUCAUUGUUUUUCAAGUUUCAGAUCAUCUUUGCAUUUCAGAAAUAAGCCCACAUUUAUUAUAAUGUAUUAUCCUUUUAAAUAUAUUGCUGAAUUUUACUUGUUAAUAUUUUGCAUAUGAUUACUUCAUUUAUGUUGCUUAAUUAGAUUUUCCAUAAUCUCCUUCCUAUAGUAUCAUUGUCAGGUUUUGGUUUAAAGACUAUGCUGUACUCAAAGUAAAAUGAGAAAAUUGUCUCUUUUUUCUAUUUUGGGGGAGAGUUUUUGCAGAUUUAGUAUUAAUUUUUUAUAUAAAUAUUAACUAGAAUUUAUUGAAAAAACUUUCUGUGCCUAGAGUUUUCAUUUGGAAAAUGUUUUAAAUGAAGAUCCCAAAAAAUUAAUAGUUAUUUGAGUUUCCUGUUUCUUUUGGGGGCAGUUUGAUAAGUUGCUUUUUUAAGAACUUUUUUUUUAUCUUUUCUUUUUUGUGAUUUUUAUUUUUUACUUAUUUUUAAUUUUUUAAAUUGUUAUUUCCCCAAUACAAUUUUUUUUCUACUGUACAGCAUGGUAACCCAAUUACACAUACAUGUAUGUAUUCUAUUUUCUCACAUUAUCAUGUUCCAUCAUAAGUGACUAAACAGUUCCCAGUGCUGCACAGCAGGAUCUCAUUGCUAAUGCAUUCCAAAGAUCCAGAAGGAAAAGAACUUUUCUGUUUCAUCGUAAAUUUUAAAAUUUAUUGACAUGGAAUUUUCCAUUAUAUCUUAUUAUGAUGUUUUAAAAAUUGUAGGUUUUCUAGUGAUGUCACUUUAAUCUGACAUUCGUCAUUUGUGCAUUCUCUCUCACAUAUGCAUGCCUGUGUACACACACACAAACACACACACACACCUACAUACACACCUGUCACACCAAGACUUUACCAAUUUUAAUUAAUUUUUUUGAACAACUUAAUGCCUGGUUGUUUAUCUCCUUUAUAUUUUAAAAACUAUUUUAUUAAUCUCUAUCAUUUUAUAUUUCCUCUCUUCUAUUUUUUGGGUUUAAUUGGACAUUUUUUCCUAAUCUUUUGGCAGAUAUUAAUUUGAUUUUUCUGCCACUCUUCAUUUUAUUACAUGAAGUUAAAGCUAUGUGUUUUUUUCCUAUAAUCACUGCUUUAGCUACCUCCAUUUUUAGUGUUCAUUAACAUUCAGAUCAAAAUAAUUCCUAAUUUUGGAAUUCCCACUGUGGAGCAAUGGGAUUGCAGUGACUCUGCAGUGCAAGGACAUACAUUCCUUAGGUUUCAGCUGUGGCUUGGAUCUGAUCUCUGGCCCAGGAACUCCAUAUGCCAAAAA
rnacentral:lncRNA from 1 species